GAUGAACGCUGGCGGUAUGCCUUAUACAUGCAAGUCGUACGGAGGAGUUUUUAACUCAAGUGGCGGACGGGUGAGUAACACGUAAGAAUUUACCUUUAGGAGGGGGAUAACAACUGGAAACGGUUGCUAAUACCCCAUAUGCUUUCGAGUGAAAUGGAUUUCCGCCUAAAGAGAAGCUUGCAGCUGAUUAGCUUGUUGGUGAGGUAAUGGCUCACCAAGGCGACGAUCAGUAUCUGGUUUGAGAGGACGAACAGACACACUGGAACUGAGACACGAUCCAGACUCCUACGGGAGGCAGCAGUAGGGAAUUUUCCGCAAUGGGCGAAAGCCUGACGGAGCAAUACCGCGUGAGGGAUGACUGCCUAUGGGUUGUAAACCUCUUUUUUCAGGGAGGAAAUCAAUUGACGUUUACCUGAAGAAUAAGCAUCGGCUAACUCCGUGCC
rnacentral:rRNA from 1 species